rnacentral:rRNA from 1 species
UCGGGAAUAUUGCGCAAUGGAGGAAACUCUGACGCAGUGACGCCGCGUGCAGGAAGAAGGUUUUCGGAUUGUAAACUGCUUUAGACAGGGAAGAAAAAAUGACAGUACCUGUAGAAUAAGCUCCGGCUAACUACGUGCCAGCAGCCGCGGUAAUACGUAGGGAGCAAGCGUUAUCCGGAUUUAUUGGGUGUAAAGGGUGCGUAGACGGGAAAUUAAGUUAGUUGUGAAAUCCCUCGGCUUAAACUGAGGAACUGCAACUAAAACUGAUUUUCUUGAGUGCUGGAGUGUCGGAGAGGUAAGUGGAAUUCCUAGUGUAGCGGUGAAAUGCGUAGAUAUUAGG